AUUGAACGCUGGCGGAAUGCUUUACACAUGCAAGUCGAGCGGCAGCGCGGGGCAACCUGGCGGCGAGCGGCGAACGGGUGAGUAAUACAUCGGAACGUACCCAGUUGUGGGGGAUAGCCCGGCGAAAGCCGGAUUAAUACCGCAUACGACCUGAGGGUGAAAGGGGGGGAUCGCAAGACCUCUCGCAGUUGGAGCGGCCGAUGGCGGAUUAGCUAGUUGGUGAGGUAAAGGCUCACCAAGGCGACGAUCCGUAGCUGGUCUGAGAGGACGACCAGCCACACUGGAACUGAGACACGGUCCAGACUCCUACGGGAGGCAGCAGUGGGGAAUUUUGGACAAUGGGGGCAACCCUGAUCCAGCCAUUCCGCGUGAGUGAAGAAGGCCUCGGUUGUAAGACUCUUUCGGUCAGGAACGAAACGGUAGGGUCCGUAAUACGAUCUGCUAAUGACGGUACCUGAAGAAGAAGACACCGG
rnacentral:rRNA from 1 species